rnacentral:rRNA from 1 species
CCUACGGGGGGCUGCAGUGGGGAAUAUUGCACAAUGGGCGCAAGCCUGAUGCAGCCAUGCCGCGUGUGUGAAGAAGGCCUUCGGGUUGUAAAGCACUUUCAGCGGGGAGGAAGGCGGUGAGGUUAAUAACCUCAUCGAUUGACGUUACCCGCAGAAGAAGCACCGGCUAACUCCGUGCCAGCAGCCGCGGUAAUACGGAGGGUGCAAGCGUUAAUCGGAAUUACUGGGCGUAAAGCGCACGCAGGCGGUCUGUCAAGUCGGAUGUGAAAUCCCCGGGCUCAACCUGGGAACUGCAUUUGAAACUGGCAGGCUAGAGUCUUGUAGAGGGGGGUAGAAUUCCAGGUGUAGCGGUGAAAUGCGUAGAGAUCUGGAGGAAUACCGGUGGCGAAGGCGGCCCCCUGGACAAAGACUGACGCUCAGGUGCGAAAGCGUGGGGAGCAAACAGGAUUAGAUACCCGUGUAGUC